rnacentral:rRNA from 1 species
GACGUGGGAGGCGAGCGUUAUCCGGAGUGAUUGGGCGUACAGCGCGCGUAGGCGGGCCGGGGAGUCGUGCGUGAAAGGUGGGGGCUCAACCCCCAGAGGCCGCACGAGACCCUCGGUCUUGGGCCCGGCAGGGGGCGGUGGAAUUCCACGAGGAGUGGUGAAAUGCGUUGAGACGUGGAGGAACACCGGUGGCGAAGGCGGCCGCCUGGGCCGUGGCCGACGCUGAGGCGCGAAAGCCAGGGGAG